CCUACGGGCGGCAGCAGUAGGGAAUAUUGCUCAAUGGGGGAAACCCUGAAGCAGCAACGCCGCGUGGAGGAUGAAGGUUUUCGGAUUGUAAACUCCUUUUGUUAGAGAAGAUAAUGACGGUAUCUAACGAAUAAGCACCGGCUAACUCCGUGCCAGCAGCCGCGGUAAUACGGAGGGUGCAAGCGUUACUCGGAAUCACUGGGCGGAAAGAGCGCGUAGGCGGGAUAGCAAGUCAGAUGUGAAAUCCUAUGGCUUAACCAUAGACGUGCAUUUGAAACUGUUAUUCUAGAGUAUGGGAGAGGUAGGUGGAAUUCUUGGUGUAGGGGUAAAAUCCGUAGAGAUCAAGAGGAAUACUCAUUGCGAAGGCGACCUGCUAGAACAUAACUGACGCUGAUGCGCGAAAGCGUGGGGAGCAAACAGGAUUAGAUACCCUUGUAGUC
rnacentral:rRNA from 1 species